AUGCUUUUUUAAACUUUAGUUUAUUCACAAUUAUUUCAAAAACCUACCGAAAAGCUCCAACUAAUGUCAAUGGUAGCUCCAAGCCCGGUUACAACUACAACAAUGCUGGUAAUUUAUUUGCUGCUAAUCGGUGAAUGCUUUACCUGCAGAGCCAUUCACAAAUCAGACCUGGAAUCGUGCUUCAGGAAUGGCGGCAAGUGUCGUGAGUAUUAUGUCUGCCC